CGGACUGCCGGCGCUGGGUAGGCGUGCGGCGCUGGGAGAGGCCCGGCACGUAUUCCGGGGCUUUCGGAGCAGUGGCGUGAGCCUGUGAACAAGAGUCCAGCUUUCCAACCUGCCGAUCUUGGAUUCUCCAGCCCCUGCAGCUAUGUGAGUGAGGAGAAGCCUUGUGGUCUUGCCUGCCGACCUUGGGGAUUUCUCAACCUUCACAGCCUGUGAGUGGGAGCCCUGCUCCCUGAACUGCUGAUCUUGGGUUCACCAGCUUCUGUGGCUCCGUGAAUUGGUAAAGGCCUCUAUCUUGAUCCAAGGACUUGGGACAUUCCAGACUCCACAAUCAUGACCAGCAGAGAGAAGAGAUUCCAUCUUCCAGAGACAUGAAGCCAUUAUUAUCUCAGGAACUGAAAUGGCCAAACAAAUCCAGAAAGAAAUACAACGAGGUGUGGAAUCAUGGAUUUCACUUGGGAACAGAAGACCUCACCUCAGUAUCAUUCUAGUGGGAGACAACCCAGCAAGCCACAUGUACGUGAGGAAUAAGAUAAGAGCUGCCUGCACUGUAGGUAUCUGCAGUGAGCUCAUUCUAAAACCUAAGAGUGUUUCUCAGGAAGAACUUUUGGAUAUAACCGAUCAGUUGAACAUGGACCCAAGAGUCAGUGGCAUAUUAAUUCAGUUACCACUUCCAGACCACGUGGAUGAGCGAACAGUAUGCAAUGGAAUUAGUCCUGAAAAAGAUGUAGACGGAUUUCACCUUAUCAAUAUUGGAAGACUGUGCCUUGAUCAGCAUUCUCUCAUCCCUGCCACUGCCAGUGCUGUUUGGGAAAUAAUCAAAAGAACAGGAAUUGAAACAUUUGGGAAAAAUGUGGUUGUGGCUGGAAGAUCUAAGAAUGUAGGAAUGCCCAUUGCGAUGCUUUUGCACACUGAUGGAGACCAUGAACGGCCAGGAGGUGAUGCAACUGUGACAAUAGCUCACAGAUAUACCCCCAAAGAACAAUUGAAGAUCCAUACUCAGCUGGCGGAUAUUAUCAUAGUAGCUGCAGAUCCAAUCUCUGCCCUUCCCUGCCCUGCUCUGGCCCGGGGAGGCUGGCUGCUGAGGACUGUCUUACCUGAGCUCCCCUGCUGCUGGUUCCUGGCAGUGUUUGGCACCACCAGGAGAUCAGAGGGAGAAGGAGAGCAUGGUCACUUCUGGAUGGAUAUGGAAUUAUGCCAGCACCAUUUGUUAAAGAGACUGUCUUUUCCCCAAUUAACGGACUUUGGGCUUUUGUCGAAUAUCAGCUGAUCAGAACCCAGCCUAAGACAAUCCUCAGUGAAACAGAUUGACACAGUGGCUGCAACAAUGGGCUCGGACAUAGCAAUGAUUGUGAAGAUGGUGCAGGACUAGGCAGUGUUUCGUUCCAUUGUACAUAUGGUCACAAUAAGUCAGAACUGACUCUACGGCACCUAACAACAACAACCUUACUUUCUCUUCGAUUCCAUGGAUGGUAUUGCAGGGCAGAUGCGGGUGUGAGGCCUGAGGGCCAAGAGGCCACAGGAAGCAGAAGAUGAAGAGACAAGGAACACAAGAAGCCAAGCUGCCUCAGUCUGAAAAGACUUUCUCACCUUUAGAAG